AUUGAACGCUGGCGGCAGGCCUAACACAUGCAAGUCGAACGAGUGGCGGACGGGUGAGUAAUGUCUGGGAAACUGCCCGAUGGAGGGGGAUAACUACUGGAAACGGUAGCAAAUACCGCAUACCAUCGGAUGAGCCCAGAUGGGAUUAGCUAGUAGGUGGGGUAAUGGCUCACCUAGGCGACGAUCCCUAGCUGGUAUGAGAGGAUGACACGGGACACUGGCAAUAAGAGAAGGUCGAGACUCCUAAGAGAGGCAGCAGUGGGAAAUAUUGCACAAUGGGCACAAUCCGGAUGAAGCCCUGCCGGGGAUAUGAAGAAGGGGUUCAAGUUGUAAAGUAUUUUCAGCGGGGAGGCGUUAGCCGCAGAAGAAGCGCCGGCUAACUCCGUGCCAGCAGCCGCGGUAAUAC
rnacentral:rRNA from 1 species